GAUCAUCAUCACAAAGGUACAUCUCAAUAAACUUACUGAAGACACCAUCUCCAGGUCUUUUUCCUGAAGAACUCAACCAAGACAAAGGCCAUUUGCCUUUAUGUCCUUGUUAUUCUCACCUUGCAAAAGGAGGAUGGACCCUGUGAUGGUUAAUACUGAGUGUCAACUUGAUUGGAUUGAAGGACGCAAACUAUUAACCCGGGGUGUUUCUGUGAGGGUGUUGCCAAGGAGAUCAACAUUUGUGUCAGUGGGCUGGGGAAGGCAGACCCACCCUUAAUCUGGAUGGGCACCAUCUAAUCAGCUGCCAGUGAAUAUAAAGCAGGUAGAAAAAUGUGAAAAGGAGAGGCUGCCCUAGCCUCCUGUUCUAUGUCUUUUUUCUGUACUGGAUGCUUCCUGCCCUUCAACAUUGGACUCCAAGUUCUUCAGUUUUGAGACUCGGACUGGCUCUCUAUGCUCCUCAAGCUUGCAGACAGCCUAUUGCGGGACCUAGUGAUCAUGUAAACUAAUACUUAAUAAACUCCCUGUCAUAUAUAUUAUACUUAAUAAACUCCCCUUCAUAUAUAUUGUACAUAUUAUAUAUAAUAUAUCAUAUAUAAUCAUAUAAUAUAUAUUAUAUAUAAAAUAUAUCAUAUAUCAUAUAAUAUAUAGUAUAUAACAUAUCAUGUAUAUCAUAUUUAUACAUAUAUAUAUAAUAUACAUAUAUAUAUAUAUCUCCCAUUACUUCUGCUCCUCUAGAGAACCCUAACACAGACUCUUACUCACAAUUUGGUUAGGAUGUCAAUACUGAUUAUGCCACCUGACAACAAGCCUAUAUAUGAAACAGUUUAUUGCAUGCAUAGUUGAGGUCUUUGUAAGCAGCAUGGCAGGCCUCCAAAAUGGAUCAGAAGUGACCUGAGAGAGUAGAAAGGAACACUGGCUAGAGUUCUUACUAUGAUCGGGUUAGGUGCUGGCUCAGGGUUCCCACACACAGGUAGGGACUUUUGGUUUGAAUUUCCUGCCUGCAUGAAAAAAGGGAGAACACGGAGCUUCUUAUCAGUUAGUCCCAAUGCGGUGCAGAGUGGAAAAGGAGAAAGUGAGUCUUAAAACUUUACAGCAGUCAACCAUCAGAAAGCAGAGUUGGAUCCCUCAUUCUUAUUCUCUAGCAUUUAAAGAAUAUGCCAGAAUUACAAGUACUCUUGAUUAUAUCCCUACCCCUGCCCACAGGGUAUGGUAAGUCAACCCUCAGAGUUGCACGUUACAGCAAGAAGGGGCAUUCCUGAUAAUUAUAUACAAAUUAGGCCUCCAAUGCGUCUCCAAAUGCUUGGAUAGCUGGGUUUCUCUCCGUUAGGACUUCACCUACAGGAAGACUUUGAGGAGGCUCACCAGAGCCUGUUACACUGUCCCUGUUACAACCACCUCUCUCUUUACAUGUCACUUGCUUAUUCUAGCUAUCUAAAAAUGAAGUUUAGGCAGGGGUUGGAAGUAGGGGGUUGGCAGGGAAAUGACUCAUAAAGUUAAAAUGGACUCUACCCACACGUUCUCCCUGUGACAUUAUCAUGAUUGGGUGCAGCAUGUCUCCAAGAACAUACAAAUUAGAAUACCUCUGUCAUUGUAGACGUCUAGGCUUCUGGGGUCCUUCAUCAUAAAAUGGAUACUUAUGCCCAUGUUGUUUGGCAAUACAUGAAUGGGGUCCUAUCUCUAAUGCCUCUGAACCUCCACGAUUUUUCCACUGUAUUCUCUCAAAUUCACAGUCUGUAACUUAUAACAUUUCUUUCCUUUUUUCUUCUUUAACUUCUCCAGGGUGAGUUUUAUCUUUCUUUCUCUUAUUGAUCCUAGCCAUUCUCUAUGACUAUUACUUCUCUUAUAGCUUAUCAAAAAUGCCUAUUUAUCUUCCUACAUUUCACAUCCUAUGCUCCACUUACCAUAGGAGGAAGGGUGAAUGUGCUACUUGUUCUGUGGUGUUUCCAGGAGACUAUGUGUAUUCCCUGCCAUCCAAACAAACACACACACACACACACAUACACACAACAGUGUUGAAGUGCACGCAACCCAACUGUGCCAUCUGUGAUGCCUCCAAGGAAGAAUGUUGCUUGCUGUGUUAAGGAUGGCAAUUUUGUUUUUUUUUUUUUUAGUAUUAUACUUUAAGUUUUAGGGUACACGUGCACAAUGUGCAGGUUAGUUACAUAUGUAUACAUGUGCCAUGCUGGUGCGCUGCACCCACUAACUCGUCAUCUACCAUUAGGUAUAUUUCCCAAUGCUAUCCUUCCCCCCUCCCCCCACCCCACAACAGUCCCCAGAGUGUGAUGUUCCCCUUCCUGUGUCCAUGUGUUCUCCUUGUUCAGUUCCCACCUAUGAGUGAGAAUAUGCGGUGUUUGGUUUUUUGUUCUUGCGAUAGUUAUGAGGUGGAAAUUGGCUUGAAAUUUUUUUAACUUUCUUCUAACUUUUUAAAUAUUCUUUAUUUCAUAUAUAUGCUAAUAAUUAACUUUUUAAAACCAAAUCAAUGUGUUUGUAUUUUCAAAAAUAGACAGUACAAACUAAGGCUAAAUGGUUAACUAUAUUGUCGUUGUGUGUGCACUUGAAGCAUCCUUGGGUGCCGUUUUUCAUACUGUGUGUUUUGAAGUAACUGUUAAUAGGC
rnacentral:lncRNA from 10 species